GUUCCGAUGGCUAAGUGGUUACAACGUCCGCCUCGGACGCGGGAGGUCUUGGGUUCUAACUCCGGAUGAGCCA